rnacentral:rRNA from 1 species
CAACGAAUAAUCCGCAAUGGGCGAAAGCCUGACGGUGCGACGCCGCGUAUGGGAUGAAGUCCUUCGGGAUGUAAACCGUCAUAGUUUGUCAGCAAGCGAUCCGGUCUAAUAAAUCGGAAAGUUGAGCAGCAGAUGAAAGGGACGGCUAACUCCGUGCCAGCAGCCGCGGUAAUACGGAGGUCCCAAGCGUUGUUCGGAUUUACUGGGCUUAAAGCGCGUGUAGGCGGUUUGGUGCGUACCUUGUGAAAUCCCACGGCUCAACCGUGGAACCGCUGGGUAUACGACCUAACUUGAGGCUGAUAGAGGUGCCUGGAACCUUAGGUGGAGCGGUGAAAUGCGUAGAUAUCUAAGGGAACGCCGGUGGCGAAAGCGGGGCACUGGGUCAGUCCUGACGCUGAGACGCGAAAGCGUAGGGAGCAAACG